GUAGGGAAUAUUGGACAAUGGUCGGAAGACUGACCCAGCCAUGCCGCGUGCAGGAAGACGGCCCUCUGGGUUGUAAACUGCUUUUAUCUGGGAAGAAAAAGGCCAUGCGUGGCAAAUUGCCGGUACCAGAUGAAUAAGCACCGGCUAACUCCGAGCCAGCAGCCGCGGUAAUACGGAGGGUGCGAGCGUUGUCCGGAUUUAUUGGGUGUAAAGGGUGCGUAGGCGGCUGAUUAAGUCAGCGGUGAAAGACUUCGGCUUAAUCGGAGCAGUGCCGUUGAUACUGGUUGGCUUGAGUGUCGGAGGGGUACAUUGAAUUGAUGGUGUAGCUGUGAAAUGCAUAGAUACCAUCAGGAACACCGAUAGCGAAGGCAUUGUACUGGCCGACAACUGACGCUGAUGCACGAAAGUGUGGGGAUCGAACAGGAUUAGAAACCCGGGUAGUCC
rnacentral:rRNA from 1 species